GGAGCAACGCCGCGUGAGUGAUGAAGGUUUUCGGAUCGUAAAACUCUGUUGUUAGGGAAGAACAAGUACCGUUCGAAUAGGGCGGUACCUUGACGGUACCUAACCAGAAAGCCACGGCUAACUACGUGCCAGCAGCCGCGGUAAUACGUAGGUGGCAAGCGUUGUCCGGAAUUAUUGGGCGUAAAGCGCGCGCAGGCGGUUUCUUAAGUCUGAUGUGAAAGCCCCCGGCUCAACCGGGGAGGGUCAUUGGAAACUGGGGAACUUGAGUGCAGAAGAGGAGAGUGGAAUUCCACGUGUAGCGGUGAAAUGCGUAGAGAUAUGGAGGAACACCAGUGGCGAAGGCGACUUUCUGGUCUGUAACUGACACUGAGGCGCGAAAGCGUGGGGAGCAAACAGGAUUAG
rnacentral:rRNA from 1 species